AGCGAACGCUGGCGGCAGGCUUAACACAUGCAAGUCGAGCGGGCAUCUUCGGAUGUCAGCGGCAGACGGGUGAGUAACACGUGGGAACGUACCCUUCGGUUCGGAACAACUCUGGGAAACUGGAGCUAAUACCGGAUACGCCCUUAUGGGGAAAGGUUUACUGCCGAAGGAUGGGCCGGCGUCUGAUUAGAUAGUUGGUGGGGUAACGGCCUACCAAGGCGACGAUCAGUAGCUGGUCUGAGAGGAUGAUCAGCCACACUGGGACUGAGACACGGCAGAGACUCCUACGGGAGGCGGCAGUGCGGAAUAUAGGACCGUGGCCGCAAGGCUGAUGCUGCUAUGCCGCGUGAGUGAUGAAGGCAUUAGGGUUGAAAAGCUCAAUUGACCGGGACGAUAAUGACGGUACCGGAAGAAAAAGCCCCGGCUAACUUCGUG
rnacentral:rRNA from 1 species